UCUCUUAUUCUUCGUGUAAUGCACUUGAGCUCUCCUGUUUUGGUUGAAAAGAUGUUGAGACUGAAGUAGUUGUGCUACUUAAUUGGGGUUGAGGUUGUGGUUGGAAUUAGAGGAUUGUUGGAAGUUUUGAGGAACUUGUUGAGUUGAGUGAACGUUUUAGAUUUCACCUACUGCAUCCGGACAGAAAAUCAUCUGCUAAUUGAUUUCGAAGGUCAUGAGUUCCAAAGGAGUGAACGAGAAGCAAACAAAUUUGACUUGCAGGGAAAACGAUUGGCAACGUUGUAGUAUCUGGCGUGCGUUGUUGUGAGGGUUCGUUUUUUUGCGAUUGUGCGAGACUGCCUCAUUUCCUAGAACGUGAAGAGGUUUUGGAGCUGGAAGAUUCAACGUGAUUGCAUAGCGUUUCCUUGACCUACUCAUUGAUUGUCUAAAAUCGCUCGAUUGAAUUACCACUUUCUCUUUCAUUUAAUUUCGCGAUUCGAAUUGUAUGUACACUUCCAAAACAGAGAUAUAAACCCUACCCAUAUCCUUAAAACUGCUGGUUGAUCACUUGGAGAGGUCAUGAUUUAACUUCGGAGUCAAACAUUUUUCCCGCUAUCAAUCUUCUUCAUGACCUAGAGCUGUUCCUUUGUUAGGCAAUUGUGGUCAUUGUUGAGCAUCACUUCGCGGAGAGCAGUGAGGAUGAAGGAAGCAUUCCAAGUGUAGAGAUACAUUUUUGACGCUGUGCUUUCCGUACAAAAAAAGCCUACCAUUAGAGCCUCUAGACUAGUAUCAACCAAGGCAUAGUAUUCUUUACUCAAAUUCCGUAUUCAUCUGGAAUCAUCAGAACUAGAUAUUUUUUUGCUUCAAUGUUUAACUGCCCCUGAGGCUCGUGGAAGAAGUUCGCUAUGACGGUGUUGAAGAUACUUUCCUGCCUUCAUGGAGCAGGAUCUUCAUGUAAUUACUUCAACGACAAGCUAAAGCUUGGCUCUAAACCUAAGCAUGCUGUCUCUUCAAUAGUUGUCUUCCCAACUACCCAAGGGCCUAUGAGGAAGUGUCACAAAAUACUGGGUUCAAUUGGAUUCGGACAGAGCAGUUAUAUGGGAGGGCAUGAGAGAUUGAUCAACCUCAGUAUUGGGAGUCGUUCUCAGGUUUUGAAGUACACAAUUUUUUUCUCUGAUGUCAGUUUAGAAAGCAAAAGAGAGACAAUUUUGCAUGUAAGAAUAGGAGGGUUGUAGUCCGUAUGACCUUUGAACUUUGCGAUGUUGUGAUCAGCCGAUAUCCGCUAGUAAUGGUGACAAACACAGACAUUACUUCACCUGGUCUAAUAGGGCAACAGUAUUGAUAAUUCAUGUCAGAAAGGAGACAAGGUAUUGCACUCACUCGAGCAGAAUAUCUGCCCGUAAUGGCAUGUUUACCAGACCUCCUGGCAACGAUUCAUGGCUCGGGAGGUUACUGAAACUCUACAAGGUUCUCGGAGAAGGAGAAGGGGAUCUUCAGAAGACCGCAGUUCUGGAUAUCCAUAUCAAAUUUUCUCUAUCAAAUCUUAAAAGCGUUGCAGAUUCUGUGUGUAUGUUCGGUCCACGUUGGUUCAAAUUACUGAAAGGAGCUCAGUCUUUGAUUAACCCCUCUCUCCAGAAUGGUGGAGGAGGGAACAAGGAUGGAGAUCUCCACAGCCGUUUCAGGUAUGGUGGUGACAAUGACUCAGACAAGAGCAAAGGAGCCGCCAAAGCAAGAACAACUUAUUGAUCUAUCAAUGGUGGGCCUUGGGUGUCGCCUUCACGUCAAUAUUAGUUUGGGCACUGGGGGCUUACAGCGGAAUUCUACAGCGUAGUAGAUUAUUAGUCUCGCAAUUUGAGGAUUGUGUGUUAUGGCUUGGUUCGAUGUGGUGCAUGGCAGCGUUUUUUCUCUGGACUGCGCGGAUUAUCAUCUCCUUGAUACCAGUCAGUGGAAGCCACGGCAAUUGCUGGAAUCUCUUCAAGUCCGAGAACGCCCUCUUCGUAACAAGAGAGUUUGUUGCGAACUUAAAGCUCGAUGAAUGGAUGGCACACAAUGGGUGGUUGUGCCGAGUUUAACGAU